rnacentral:rRNA from 1 species
AGCAUAUUAAUAAGCGGAGGAAAAGAAACCAACCGGGAUUCCCUCAGUAGCGGCGAGCGAACAGGGAGAAGCCCAGGACCGAAUCCUGCAGUGAAUGCUGUUUGGAAAUGUGGUCUUCGGAUCAGUGCUCACGGCGUGGCGGAGGUGUUCUAAGUUCACGUGAUUGUGGCUUCAAUCCCACAGAGGGUGUAAGGCCCGUAAGAACACUACUCUGCGUCCUGGCAUUGUUCCUAGAGUAGGGUUGUUUGGGAAUGCAGCCCGAAUCGGGUGGUAAACUCCAUCCAAGGCUAAAUACAACACGAGUCCGAUAGUCAACAAGUACCAUGAGGGAAAGUUGAAAAGAACUUUGAAGAGAGAGUUCAACAGUACGUGAAACCGGCGGCACUAUAAACGGACGGAACCGAAGGUGUGUGUGAAGGUGGUGCUUCAUUGUUUCUUGACGUGCGGUUUGGGAUGGCUCUCCACUCUUUCCGUAUGGCAGGUGCAGUGUUGUAUUAUUCUUCAUGCACGACACCACGAUCGGUAAGUAGGAGGGCCUGUCAUUUUGAGGAAGGUGACCUGAGAUCCUUCUCGGGUGUUAUAGCCUCAUUUUGCAGCGCCAGCCGAGUACCGCGCGACAUUUUGGCGUGCGUUCAAGUUCUUGCGUUUUGUGAGGCGGCCUCUCCCUAUCCUUGGAAUAUGGUUGGGUCUGUCUUGCUGGCGCGAGGGUCUCUGUGCGUACGGUAAAAUUGUGGUGCAUUAGGCAAUCCGUCCGACCCGUCUUGAAACACGGACCAAGGAGUUUAGCAUGUGCGCAAGUCAUUGGGUGCUACGAAACCUAAAGGCGCAGUGAAAGUAAAGACCUGUACCAUUACAGGUUGAGGUAGGAUCCCGGUUUCAUUGUGUGGCAACAUACAUGAGCUGGGCGCACUACCAGCUCGUCCCAUGUUCUAUUGAGCGGGGCGACGCAAGAGCGCACAUGCUGAGACCCGAAAGAUGGUGAACUAUGCUUGCGUAGGCUGAAGCCAGAGGAAACUCUGGUGGAGGGCCGUAGCGGUUCUGACGUGCAAAUCGAUCGUCAAACGUGAGCAUAGGGGCGAAAGACUAAUCGAACCAUCUAGUAGCUGGUUCCCUCCGAAGUUUCCCUCAGGAUAGCUGGCACUCGGGAAACAAACAGUUUUAUCCGGUAAAGCGAAUGAUUAGCAGUAUUGGGGGUGAAAUAUCCUCAACUGAUUCUCAAACUUUAAAUGGGUGAGAUGCAUGGCUCACUUAAUUGGAGUUGUGCAUUGAAUGCGAGUGCCAAGUGGGCCAUUUUUGGUAAGCAGAACCGGCGCUGUGGGAUGAACCAAACGUCUGGUUACGGAGCCAAACAUGACGCUCAUCAGAAACCACAAAAGGUGUUGGUUGAUACUGACAGCAGGACGGUGGCCAUGGAAGUCGGAAUCCGCUAAGGAGUGUGUAACAACUCACCUGCCGAAUCAACCAGCCCUGAAAAUGGAUGGCGCUGGAGCGUCGGUCCUAUACCAGACCGUUACCGCGAAGUCAAUUGUAUGCGGUAACGAGUAGGAGGGCGCCGUGGUGAGCAUUGAAGCCUGGGACGUAAGUCUGGGUGGAGCCGCCACGGGUGCAGAUCUUGGUGGUAGUAGCAAAUAUUCAAGUGAGAACCUUGAA